rnacentral:rRNA from 2 species
UAAACGACUCUCGGCAACGGAUAUCUCGGCUCUCGCAUCGAUGAAGAACGUAGCGAAAUGCGAUACUUGGUGUGAAUUGCAGAAUCCCGUGAACCAUCGAGUCUUUGAACGCAAGUUGCGCCCGAAGCCUUUAGGCCGAGGGCACGCCUGCCUGGGCGUCACAC